rnacentral:rRNA from 1 species
CGCGGCGGAUUAGCUUGUUGGCGGGGUAAAGGCCCACCAAGGCGACGAUCCGUAGCUGGUCUGAGAGGACGAUCAGCCACACUGGGACUGAGACACGGCCCAGACUCCUACGGGAGGCAGCAGUGGGGAAUCUUGCGCAAUGGGCGAAAGCCUGACGCAGCGACGCCGCGUGAGGGAAGAAGGCCUUCGGGUUGUAAAGCUCUUUCGGCAGGGACGAUUAUGACGGUACCUGCAGAAGCAGCUGCGGCUAACUACGUGCCAGCAGCCGCGGUAAUACGUAUGGGGCAAGCGUUGUUCGGAGUUAUUGGGCAUAAAGAGUGUGUAGGCGGUGUUCUAAGUUUGUCGUGAAAUCUCCCGGCUUAACUGGGAGGGUGCGGCGAAAACUGGAAUGCUAGAGGAUGGGAGAGGUAAGCGGAAUUCCUGGUGUAGCGGUGAAAUGCGUAGAUAUCAGGAGGAACACCUGUGGUGUAGACAGCUUACUGGACCAUUUCUGACGCUGAGACACGAAAGCGUGGGUAGCAAACAGGAUUAGAUACCCUGGUAGUCCACGCCCUAAACGAUGCAUACUUGGUGUGAGCGAUUCAUUUCGUUCGUGCCGGAGCUAACGCGUUAAGUAUGCCGCCUGGGGAGUACGGUCGCAAGGCUGAA